CAGACAUGCUCCGUGCGUUCAGCCGAAAGGUGUACUCGUACGGUUGCAGGCCAGCAUCGGUUUGGUUCGGGGUAAAAGGGUGCGGGGAACGUGGCAACCUCGGUUGUGUUAUAGACCCGCACUGGAUGCCCCGUCGCAGACCGAGGAACGCAGGGCGCCGCAAGGUAGUGCCUCCGGGUACCGAGCCCUUAGGAUGCUGGUAGAAUAGCCUUAACCGACCCCGUCUUGAAACACGGACCAAGGAGUCUAACAUAUAUGCGAGUGUU
rnacentral:rRNA from 1 species